rnacentral:rRNA from 1 species
AGUGAACGCUGGCGGUAGGCCUAACACAUGCAAGUCGAACGGCAGCACAGUAAGAGCUUGCUCUUACGGGUGGCGAGUGGCGGACGGGUGAGGAAUACAUCGGAAUCUACUUUUUCGUGGGGGAUAACGUAGGGAAACUUACGCUAAUACCGCAUACGACCUACGGGUGAAAGCAGGGGAUCUUCGGACCUUGCGCGAUUGAAUGAGCCGAUGUCGGAUUAGCUAGUUGGCGGGGUAAAGGCCCACCAAGGCGACGAUCCGUAGCUGGUCUGAGAGGAUGAUCAGCCACACUAGAACUGAGACACGGUCCAGACUCCUACGGGAGGCAGCAGUGGGGAAUAUUGGACAAUGGGCGCAAGCCUGAUCCAGCCAUACCGCGUGGGUGAAGAAGGCCUUCGGGUUGUAAAGCCCUUUUGUUAGGAAAGAAAAGCAGCAGGUUAAUACCCCGCUGUUCUGACGGUACCCAAAGAAUAAGCACCGGCUAACUUCGUG